rnacentral:pre_miRNA from 1 species
CCAUGCUUCCUUGCAUUCAAUAGUGAUUCUGAAAGCAUAUGGAAUGUAAAGAAGUAUGGAG